rnacentral:rRNA from 1 species
UAGGGAAUCUUCCGCAAUGGACGCAAGUCUGACGGAGCAACGCCGCGUGAGUGAGGAAGGAUUUCGGUUCGUAAAACUCUGUUGUUAGAGAAGAACAGCGCAUAGAGUAACUGUUAUGCGUGUGACGGUAUCUAACCAGAAAGCCACGGCUAACUACGUGCCAGCAGCCGCGGUAAUACGUAGGUGGCAAGCGUUGUCCGGAUUUAUUGGGCGUAAAGCGAGCGCAGGCGGUCAAUUAAGUCUGAUGUGAAAGCCCCCGGCUCAACCGGGGAGGGUCAUUGGAAACUGGUUGACUUGAGUGCAGAAGAGGAGAGUGGAAUUCCAUGUGUAGCGGUGAAAUGCGUAGAUAUAUGGAGGAACACCAGUGGCGAAGGCGACUCUCUGGUCUGUAACUGACGCUGAGGCUCGAAAGCGUGGGUAGCAAACAGG